rnacentral:lncRNA from 1 species
UUACAGGUAUUUUCAAAGAAUAAAUCCUCAAUUCCAUCAUCACUUGGCGGGGAGGGGGCACUUAUUAAGCAUUUUAGAUAAUAAAACUGGUUAAGCUUACUCUGGCAGAACAGACAAUCAAAUCUGGGGAUUGCUGAGAACAAUAAUAAGCUGAAGUAUGGCUCACAGAAUCCUAACACAAAUCAUUAAGUCUCUAGUUAGAUUUAUUAUCCUAAAAUUUUUCAUAGAAUUUUAAAAUUGAAUUCUGACUUGUAUGGUUAAGAAAAGCAGUUAAAUAUUUUACUACUUAUCAAGGGCUUUUAAAAUAAAUCUGACAGGAAGAAAGGCAAAUAAAUACCUAUGUAGACAUUCUAUAAUAACAAAGAGCCAUAGAUGAUAAAGGAAUUAGAUUUUAAUGUAGAACUGGUGGUUUCUGAAACAAAGGUAUGUGGUACUUUUAUUGUAGUUAUUGAUGAGAAGCCAGUAACCAGUAGUGUUUUCCUAGAUAUAUGCCCACCCUCACACAACUUUCUUCAUUAACGUUAAAUAUGCAUUUUUAUCUUAUUAAAUUAUAUUGUAUAAUGCUGAAGGAAAACAAAGUGUUCAAAUAAUCAUAACUUCUACAUUACAGGUUCUGUUUGUUUAGAUGUAGAACUAGAGGGGCCAGGGUAAAUGUAGAUAAAGAGAUAUAUAGCACCAUGCUUCUUAAUGCUUCAUACUUUUGCAAACAGAAAAAAAAAGUUUUACUUCUUUUAUUAUAAAACUUCAUCUGUGGUCAAAGUAAACACUGUUACAUUUAAAUUGCUUUUUAAAAACAAUUGCGAUCUAAAAAGUCAAAAAUCUGAAAUUUAACAAUAUGAGACUUACACUGAAUAUAAUGUUCAUUUAGAAGUUGCUGUGGUCCAUUUCAUUUAUAAGGGACAAAUAUUUUUACAGUACACUAUAGCAACAGCGAAAGCCCUCUCUCACCCUGAUAGGAAUGGGUUUGCUGGGUGUCUAGAAGUUAGAUUCCUGCUGAAUAGAAUUAGCCAUCCUUAAAAGAUUUUAAUCCAAUACGGAACUGUUUAUAAAAUGCUUUCUCUAUUGUAAUGUACUGUAAGUAGUGAAAUUCUGUAUAUACUGCUAUUUUCUGUCUGUUCAUUGUUGUGAACUUACUUAUGUAUAUUAGUGAAAUAAAUUUUCAGCUUUCA